CAAUAGCGUAUAUUAAAGUUGUUGCAGUUAAAAAGCUCGUAGUUGGAUUUCUGGUUGGAGCGACCGGUCGGGCAUUGAUUUGUCUGCACUGGAGUCGGUUCUGGCCAUCCUCUUGGAAAGUGCGUCUGUCAUUAAGUUAUCGGGCGUAUGAUCCUGGUCUUUUACUGUGAAAAAAUUAGAGUGUUUAAAGCAGGCCUUCGCCUUGAAUACAUUAGCAUGGAAUAAUAAGAUAGGACUUUGGUCUAUUUUGUUGGUUUGCAGACCGAAGUAAUGAUUAAUAGGGAUAGUUGGGGGUAUUUAUAUUCCGAUGUCAGAGGUGAAAUUCUUAGAUUUUCGGAAGAUAAACUUAUGCGAAAGCAUUUACCAAGGAUGUUUNCAUUAA
rnacentral:rRNA from 1 species